rnacentral:rRNA from 1 species
UGGCGGACGGGUGAGUAAUGUCUGGGAAACUGCCUGAUGGAGGGGGGAUAACUACUGGAAACGGUAGCUAAUACCGCAUAACGUCGCAAGACCAAAGAGGGGGACCUUCGGGCCUCUUGCCAUCGGAUGUGCCCAGAUGGGAUUAGCUUGUUGGUGGGGUAACGGGCUCACCAAGGCGACGAUCCCUAGCUGGUCUGAGAGGAUGACCAGCCACACUGGAACUGAGACACGGUCCAAACUCCUACGGGAGGCAGCAUG